ACGGCCCGGCCCGGCCCGGCCCGGGGGCGGUGGCUGUGAGCGCGGCGCCGUGAGGAGCCCCGGCGGGGCCGCCCUUCCUGCGGCAGCAGCGGGGGCCGUGCGUGUUGUUAGAGCUGCGGAGCCGGCCCGGCCUCCGCGAGCGGCCCUUCGGCACAGCCGUCUGCCUCAGCAGGGCAGUGGGAAAGGAGAGAAGAGCUUUAUUGGGGAUUGCACAGCUCUUGUGCUGUGACUGUAGCUCCUUUAGAUCGCUGAGAGAACGCAGAGUGACCUAUUUCUUCCAUGAGACUUCAACACGAUACCUUUCCAUUAGCUAAGCAACUAGCAGAAAAUACUCCAGGGAGCAGCAUCAAGCCAAAAGUUCUCCAGGGAGCAGUAUGUAGUGCAUGAGCAGUGAGACUUUGGUUCAGCUCCCUACUUCCCAUGCAAUAUUGGUGCCUCUUUGAAUCAUAGCUCCACAUGUAUAAACCAGGGAAUAACGGUAUCUCCCUGGAGAGACUGAUGGGAAGAUAAUACACUCAGGACUGUGUGACAAUACAGGAUCAGCCCCUGUAAGACCUACUGAUGAAAAGCAGCACAUAAAAGCCACCCAGGUAUUA